rnacentral:rRNA from 1 species
CCUUAGUUACCAGCACGUUAAGGUGGGCACUCUAAGGAGACUGCCGGUGGACAAACCGGAGGAAGGUGGGAUGACGUCAAGUCCUCAUGGCCCUUAUAUCCAGGGCUACACACGUGCUACAAUGGCCGGUACAAAGGGUCGCAAUACCGCGAGGUGGAGCUAAUCCCAAAAAGCCGGUCUCAGUUCGGAUUGGAGUCUGCAACUCGACUCCAUGAAGUCGGAAUCGCUAGUAAUCGCGUAUCAGCGUGACGCGGUGAAUACGUUCCCGGGCCUU